rnacentral:rRNA from 1 species
AUUGAACGCUGGCGGCAGGCCUAACACAUGCAAGUCGAGCGAGCGGCGGACGGGUGAGUAAUGUAUGGGGACUGCCCGAUAUAGGGGGAUAACUACUGGAAACGGUGGCUAAUACCGCAUACUAUCGGAUAACCCAUAUGGGUUUAGCUAGGAGGUUGGGUAAAGGCUCACCUAGGCGACGAUCUCUAGCUGGUCUGAGAGGAUGAUAAGCCACCCUGGAACUGAGACACGGCCCAGACUCCUACGGAGGCAGCAGUGGAGAAUAUUGCACAAUGGGAGCAAGCCUGAUGCGGCCAUGCCGCGUGUAUGAAGAAGGCCUUAGGGUUGUAAAGUACUUUCAGCGGUGAGGCGUUACCCGCAGAAGAAGGACCGGCUAACUCCGUGCCAGCAGCCGCGGUAAUUC